rnacentral:rRNA from 1 species
UACGUAGGGGGCGAGCGUUGUCCGGAUUUAUUGGGCGUAAAGAGCUCGUAGGCGGUUGGGUAAGUCGGGUGUGAAAACUCAGGGCUCAACUCUGAGACGCCACUCGAUACUGCUCUGACUCGAGUCCGGUAGGGGAGCGUGGAAUUCCCGGUGUAGCGGUGAAAUGCGCAGAUAUCGGGAGGAACACCAGUGGCGAAGGCGGCGCUCUGGGCCGGAACUGACGCUGAGGAGCGAAAGCGUGGGUAGCAAACAGG